rnacentral:rRNA from 1 species
GAUAUGGCUCAGAUUGAACGCUGGCGGCAUGCUUUACACAUGCAAGUCGAACGGCAGCAUAGAGAGCUUGCUCUCUGAUGGCGAGUGGCGAACGGGUGAGUAAUACAUCGGAACGUGUCCUGUUGUGGGGGAUAACUACUCGAAAGAGUAGCUAAUACCGCAUAAGACCUAAGGGUGAAAGCGGGGGGACCUUCGGGCCUCGCGCAGUUGGAGCGGCCGAUGACUGAUUAG